AUGAAGAUGACAGAACAGAGACAAUAGGGAAUGAAAAAUCUUUGGAGCUUUAAUGAUGCCACUUCUUAAUUGGAGUUUUAGCCAUACAAGGAGGAACAACUAAGCUAUCAAUUAAUCAAGAGCCACAACAUAAGCGCAGGCUACGGCAGUCUGGGGAGAAUCGGGGAAGUCACCUUCGUUUCGGGUCUUCCAGGUUCGAUGAGUACGGAAAGGCUCGAUAUUUUGGACGACACGAAGCGUGCAUUGAGCUUGUUUUUGGUAAUAGCGUGUAUUGAGCUUUAGGGUCGUAGGGAAUGAGCAUAGACUGAGGAACUACAGGUCAGUCACUUCGGUCAAUGAGAUCUAUAAUGAAGGCAGAGCCUACGCCAUCGUAUUCAGUUUAGAAGCCGGGGCUUCUUUUUGACAAUAAUAAAUAAUCUUUAGACUAAAUAUCAAUUUAGGCUCAGUUAUUAAAAAAGAGAAAAUGUUAUCUAUAUUGUUAAUUGCUGUAAUAGAUCGAUUGAACAUCUAUUCAAUUAGAAAAAUUAUUAAAA